rnacentral:rRNA from 1 species
UACGUAGGGUCCAAGCGUUAUCCGGAUCACUGGGCGUAAAGCGUGCGUAGGUGGCGUGUUUAAGUGUGAUGUUAAAUCGUGUGGCUCAACCAUAUCGAUGUGUCGCAUACUGGCAUGCUAGAGGACAGCAGAGGCAAGUGGAAUUUGUAGUGUAGCAGUGAAAUGCGUAGAUAUUACAAGGAACACCAAUGGCGAAGGCAGCUUGCUGGGCUACUCCUGACGCUGAGGUGCGAAAGCGUGGGGGAGCAAACAGG